rnacentral:rRNA from 1 species
GACGAACGCUGGCGGCGUGCUUAACACAUGCAAGUCGAACGGAAAGGCCCUGCUUUUGUGGGGUGCUCGAGUGGCGAACGGGUGAGUAACACGUGAGUAACCUGCCCUUGACUUUGGGAUAACUUCAGGAAACUGGGGCUAAUACCGGAUAGGAGCUCCUGCUGCAUGGUGGGGGUUGGAAAGUUUCGGCGGUUGGGGAUGGACUCGCGGCUUAUCAGCUUGUUGGUGGGGUAGUGGCUUACCAAGGCUUUGACGGGUAGCCGGCCUGAGAGGGUGACCGGCCACAUUGGGACUGAGAUACGGCGCAGACUCCUACGGGAGGCAGCAGUGGGGAAUAUUGCACAAUGGGCGGAAGCCUGAUGCAGCAACGCCGCGUGCGGGAUGACGGCCUUCGGGUUGUAAACCGCUUUCGCCUGUGACGAAGCGUGCGUGACGGUAAUGGGUAAAGAAGCACCGGCUAACUACGUG